rnacentral:rRNA from 1 species
ACCCUCCAAGCCAAAAUACUGAUAUCGACCGAUAGCGCAUAGUACCGUGAGGGAAAGGUGAAAAGAACCCCUGGCGGGGAGUGAAAGAGAACCUGAAACCGUAUGUCUACAAACAGUCGAAGUCUGUAUAUAUAUCAGGACGACGGCGUGCCUAUUGAAGAAUGAACCGACGAGUUACUGUUGCUAGCGAGGUUAAGUGGAACACAUGGAGCCGCAGCGAAAGCGAGGCUGAACAGGGCGUUCAGUUAGUAAUAGUAGACCCGAAACCGUAGUGAUCUAUCCAUGGCCAGGUUGAAGCACAGGUAAAAUUGUGUGGAGGACCGAACUCGUGAGCGUUGAAAAGCUUUGGGAUGAGUUGUGGAUAGGGGUGAAAUGCCAAUCGAACACGGAGAUAGCUGGUUCUCCCCGAAAUAGCUUUAGGGCUAGCCUCGAGGUAGAGAGUAUAGGCGGUAGAGCACUGAUCGGGCUAGGGGCCAUACCGGUUACCGAACCUAGUCAAACUACGAAUGGCUAUACUUAUACUCGGGAGUCAGACAGUGAAUGAUAAGGUCCAUUGUCAAGAGGGAAACAGCCCAGAACACCGACUAAGGUCCCCAAUGUUACACUAAGUGGCGAAGGAUGUGGAAUUUCCAAAACAACCAGGAUGUUGGCUUAGAAGCAGCCACCAUUUAAAGAGUGCGUAAUAGCUCACUGGUCGAGAGACUCUGCGCCGAAAAUGUCCGGGGCUAAAGUGUAAAACCGAAGUCGUGUCAUAUGCAGCAAUGUAUAUGGGUAGGGGAGCGUUCUCAUCGGGCUGAAGCAGUACCGUAAGGAGUUGUGGACUGAUGAGAAGUGAGAAUGUCGGUAUGAGUAGCGAAAAGAAUGGUGAGAAUCCAUUCCACCGAAAGCCUAAGGGUUCCUGAGCAACGAUCGUCGUCUCAGGGUAAGUCGGGACCUAAGCCGAGGCGGAAAAGCGUAGGCGAUGGACAACAGGUUGAAAUUCCUGUACCGGUGUGAAUCGUUUGAUCGAUGGAGUGACACAGUAAGGUAGGUCAGCACGCGAUUGGAAGUGCGUGUUUAAGCAGGUAGGUUGAGCUAUAGGUAAAUCCGUAGCUCUAAAAGCUGAGAUGUGAUGACGAGUGACUAGCAAUAGUCGCGAAGUGAUUGAUCCUACACUGUCGAGAAAAGCUUCUAGGUAGAGACACAUCGCCCGUACCAAAACCGACACAGGUAGGCGGGGAGAGAAUCCUAAGGUGCGCGGGAAAACCCUCGUUAAGGAACUCGGCAAAAUGCCUCCGUAACUUCGGGAAAAGGAGGACUCAUGUAGUGUGAAGAGCAGAAGCGCUUGGAGCAUGAAUGAGUGGCACAAGAGAGGCGCAAGCGACUGUUUACCACAAACACAGGUGCCUGCUAAAGCGAAAGCUGAUGUAUAGGUGCUGACACCUGCCCGGUGCUGGAAGGUUAAGAGGAGGGGUUAGACUUUGGGCGAAGCUCUGAAUUGAAGCCCCAGUAAACGGCGGCCGUAACUAUAACGGUCCUAAGGUAGCGAAAUUCCUUGUCGGGUAAGUUCCGACCCGCACGAAAGGUGUAACGACUUGCGCACUGUCUCAACGAGGGACCCGGUGAAAUUGAAGUACCUGUGAAGAUGCAGGUUACCCGCGACUGGACAGAAAGACCCCAUGGAGCUUUACUGCAACCUAAGAUUGAACUUAGUUAAUGAAUGUACAGGAUAGGUGGGAGACGGAGAACCUAGGACGCCAGUUUUAGGGGAGUCGCUGUUGGGAUACCACCCUUUCAUUAAUUGAUUUCUAACGGGCCGAGUAACGACCGGCCGGACAGUCUUAGGCGGGCAGUUUGACUGGGGCGGUCGCCUCCAAAAGAGUAACGGAGGCGCCCAAAGGUUCCCUCAGAGCGGACGGAAAUCGCUCGAAGAGUGUAAAGGCAGAAGGGAGCUUGACUGCGAGACGGACAGGUCGAGCAGGGACGAAAGUCGGGCUUAG